CACGAUGAUGACAAUCUUUCAGAGCUGAGA
rnacentral:piRNA from 1 species